GUAAAUUAAUGAAAGGCAGUGCUGAGCUGUUAGGGACAGUUAUUGAAUUCUGUAUAACAUCUCCAAUAAUAUGGGAGGAGUUACUUUAUAGCUUUUCAUCCCAUUUUGAUUCAACAUUGUUCGUUUGGGCCAGUUGCCAUCCCUAGAACAAACAGGAGUGACAGGAAAUGAGACGUACAUUGCUUCAGUCCCGUAUCUCUAGCAUGGUACACUGUUUUCUUUUUCAAAGGAAAAUACAACUGGAAUGUUUUCUCUCUUUUACACUAACUGUUUAUGAUCAGAGAUGUAAAGAAAAUGUCAACUGAAUCCGGGAACUCAGUAAACUUCAAAAAAUGAUGCUAAUGAAUCGAGCUGAAAUGUGUCAGACAGCUGAAGAAAUGGAGUGAUUAAUGAAAGAACUGAAAUAGCAUGCUCUACAUUUAUAUUCCUGAAUGGAAAGACCUGGAAAAUGAUCUGGAUAAUCAAGUCUGUUGUGGAACAUGGCCUUCUUGACAUCACUGUAUUUGCAGGAUAUAAAUCUAUGGAUAUCUGACGGAUAAUUCUGAGUCAAAGAAAAGUUGAAAAUCUAUGCUCAAUCAGACGUAUACAUGAAGGCAAAUUAUCUGAAUGAAGGGAUAAUGAACUGAUUCAUGAUGCCACAUUUCCGCUGCUGCUCAGAGGACAGAAAUGCAGUACAGUGGGCAGGGGCAGCUCAUGUUUCUGUAUAUAUGUUUGUAUGUGUGGAAGGCAUAGGUGGUCUCAAUUGCCCUUACAUCACAGCAAGUGUAUGAUUUCCUGCCUCAUAUUUUGGUCUGUUCCAUGUAAAAUUGGUCACUUUUCUGGCUAGUCAAUGAGAAUUGCAGUCACUGAACAAUGAUGACAGACAUUUAAGUUUCAAGCUUAAUAGCCUUCAAAAAUGCAUGCUAAUGCAAAGCCUAUUUUAGCAUGUGUGUAAGUAUGUAACUGCUAUAGCUGUCCCUGAUCUGGGUACAUUGCCCAACAUUGUUCUGAGCUUUCUCUUCUAUUCUUGAGCUGAAAAGUUGAGAGGUAUGUGUGUUUGUGAUGGUGGUGGUGGGGUUGCAGUGGGGCUGCAGUGAGUUGGGCACUGUAUUCUGACAACAGUCAGCUGAAAUGAUAAAUUCUUGCAUGAUUGUGUAAUUAUUCAUCUGGUGCAAUCAAACAUUUGAGGUGGACAGGCACAGUCAUGCAAGUGUCUGUAAUUGAUGAACAUGUGUGUAUGUGUGUGUGACUGCUAGGGUGUUAAAACAACUUAAUGUGGCCAAUUAUUAUUUUUAUUUUAUUGCAUUCUGACACCUGAUGUGUCCAAUAAAAGUCUUGCAGUUUUAUUUGGGAGAGGUUUCAGUUCUAUGUAUCAGAGUGUUUUAGCAAUGUUAAAACAUGGUGAGCACUGUAAAUGAUCAAAACCUAUUUGCUCAAAUCUUUUUUAACAAAACUGAAACCUGCAACUCCCCAUACUUUCUCCUCUUACUCAAUAUGGUGCAGCCUCAGAGCUUAUUUAGAGUGAGGGGAGUCUGGGAGCAUAUUCAAGUCAAGGAUUUUCCAUUGGGAAAAAAACAGAAUUGGCUGGGUUGGGUUUCUGUGAAAUAAGUAUGGAGCAAAGAGAUUUAGAUUGUUCAUAGUGAAACCCAAAGCAUGGAAUAAUGUACUGUGUGUUAGAGUUCCAGGAAGUCAUUUUUGCAGGUGUAGCCAGUUAUACUUUCGCAGUUUUACUUGAAAUUCUUCUGUUUUCUUGUUCAGAGUCUUUCUGCAAGAACAAAACAUGUAAAGCAUUAAGGCUGUAGACAUUUUUUAUGGAUUCAUAUAAUUAUAGUUUUGUGAUUUUAUUUGGGGUUUGCUACAAUGUUCAAAUUGAUGCAGCAGGAUCAUAAGGUAAAGUACUGUACCAAAUUAAUAUUCUAGACAGUAACAUUUAUAGAUUUAUCCAAAUCCAGUUUUGCAGUUUCAUUUUGUGGGUUUUGUUUCUUGGUUUAGUGAGCUUUAGCAUGACCUGGAUAUGUGUAUGGAAAAGUAGUGCAAUGAAGCUUUGGUAGCCAUUUUUGUAGCUUAACCCAAUUGCAGCAUUCAUAUUUGUUUUCUACCUUUAAGCAGUGGCAUUGUAACACUUAUCUUUGCAACUCCUUUACUUCUGGUUCUGUGAAGCUGGGUUCUGUAUUUAAAGAUGGAUGUUUGGGUUAUUUUUUUUUUUUAUACCAAAUCCCCUAAUGACUAUAAGUCCCAACUCUCAAGGUUGCUCAUUUGACCCAUUCUUUGCUUGGAGAUGAGAUUCCAUGGUGUAUUUGUUCCUGUAGGAAAAGAUCUGAGUGACUCAUAAGUGAAAGCCAUUAUCCAGGGUCAAGAAAUGCAUCCUCCCCUACAUAACCAUAUCCUAUGGAAGCUUGCAAGCUCCACUACUUCUGUUUGCAGAGGAUGCAUACAUGCACGCAUGCAUGCUAUCCUACCUCUGCUCUAUGGGCUUGCUAGGCUCACUUCUGUAGUCAGUAUCUCUGCCCUCCUGCAGGAGUCAUCAGUGCACCAAGCCAAACCACCAUCAUCCCACCAGGAUGGACAAACUGUUGUUGGCCAUUCACUCAUAACAUCCCCAUCCUAGUGUCUCCAGCACUCAUACUGCUAAUAGAACACAGGUCAUCUAGGGCAUUUUCAGCACCUUGUCUUUCUAUAUCAUAUGUCUUGGUGAUGGUGGGGUUAAUAGCAUGCUAUAGAAAGUCAUCAGAGCCAAAAACGAUAGAACCACCUGGAUAGUUUUUCACUUGUCUUUUCCUCACAUACAAUGGCACAUACUGCAGACUAAAACUAGUACUUCCUGUUGUUAUCAAAUUAAUUUCCAUAUCGUGAUGUGCAUUCUGAAGAUACAUAUCAAAAAUCUGGAUGUGUGGUAACACUGACUUUGCUGAGGGGACAAGAGAAAACAGAAAGGAACAAAGACGGAAAGGUCUAUUUUACUAUGUAAGACAUCUAAGUUUGGCACAUAGCAAUCAUGUCUGAUCCUGGCUCUUCUUGAAAACUGUAACAAAAACAUUAUUAACAUCUGUCAAGGCACAAAUCAAUUCUGCUGGUAAAUUACUUUUGUGAUUUUGAGCAUUUAAUCUAAGCUGGUGGAAGUAAGGUGACAGCUGGUCCAAAAAUGUAAUGGUCACUUAGGAGACUCUUGCCACAAAAAUAACGUUACCUCCAUGUUGUUUAUGUAUGUGAAGGGGGUGUCACAGUGAAUCCCUCUGCAUUGCAGGUGUGAAGUCAUUGUGUACUCCAUGGAAAAGCAAAUCUGAAUUGUGCAUUUUUCACAGAGAAGGGCAUCUCAAUGAACCAGUCAGCUUAUGGAUAUUCUAGACCAGCAGUCAUUAAAUAACUUAUAAAAUGCAGGAGCAAUCCCUAGCUCUUAUAAAAAAAAUAAUUUGUCCCUCCAUUCCAGUACUACUGUCAAGAAGGUAGUGUGCUUCAUUGUAGCACUGAAAAUAUGAAAUCCUUUGGAUUGCAAUUGCAAUGGCUACAUGUCUAGUCAAAUUCACAACAUAUAAAGUGUUGUGUUCCAUACUUCGUCACAGUCAUCAUAAAAAAAAUACACAGAAAAGAAAAGCAAAAGCAAGAAAAAAUAAAACAGUAUAAAUAUAGCAAGAAAAACUACAAAGGAAAUGCGGUAAAAAGAACAAUACCAGUCACAGCAAGCAGUGUUAUUCUAUGUAAAAAUAAAGAAAUAAAAAUAAAGAAGUGGGCUAUAAUGUAUUUGUAUUGCACUGUAUGUGGAGCUUUUGUUCCCAGGCCUCCACUGAAAAUGGGUUGUGUAGACCCAGCUGGACCACCUUGGUAAACAAAUUUCAAAUAAAUAAAUAAAAUAAAUAAAUGUAUGUAUCUUUUGCAUUUAUAUACUGUAUGUAUGUAUGUAUGUAUCUAUGUAUUUAUUUAUUUAUUUAAAUGUGUUAAUUGGCUAAGUGGACUAAUUCUGAGACUCUUUUUCAGCUCUGAACUGGGCCACAAGCAAAGAAAUAACAACAGUAUGUACAACAAUUACAUAAAACACAAAGAAAAUACUCAUAUACACAUAAGAAAAUUGCACUAAAAAGAGAGUACAGCAAACAGUCUAAGUUACAUCCAAAAGACACUGAGUAUCAAUUCACUCUGAUGAACUUAAAAAUUGAUGAUUUAGCAGUCAUGCCAACAAACUAAUUAAUAUGUAACAAGUAGAAGGGAUAGAAGUAAUGAAGAAAAUUUGGAGCGAUCCAGGGAGGAGAAAUCUUUGAAUAGAUAGGUGAAGUAGAAGAAGGGAAAAUGGUGCAGGGAUGUGGUAAAGAGGAAAGAGCGGAGUACAAUGAAGGAAAGAGAAACAAUACAGUGUUAUCAGUAGAAAAGAAGGCUUAUAUAGUUAUAUCCCUCUAAUGUUAUCAGGCUAUAGACUGCUAAAUUAAAGAGAAUGAUGUAAGUCUCUAUGGAGUGCUAGUAAUUAAGCAAAGUUUCACUCAUUAAGUUUAAAUAGAUUUUUUUUUUUAUUUAGUUUGGACAUACUGGACUUGUAAUUUGACUCACCCCUUUAUUCCUUGGUGGUUUUCUCCACUCAUCUAAAGCCUACUUAUAACAACAUUCUUCACCAAUGCAUGUUUUAAACAGAAUCCUUUGAAGCUUAAUGAUGUUGUCUGAAUUAUCACAAAGGUCAUGGGGGGAUGAUUUAAGGAUUAGUUUGUUUGAUAAUAAGCGGCAGAAUAGUCAUUUAACAAGUUUGUAAGAGAAGCAAGACAGGGGGAAGGUUAGCUUAGCAGUUAUGGGAAUGCAAUUGACUUUCUUAACUGAUUAACAAUGGUGCUCCCUAAUAGGUGCCAAUUUAAGAAGGAGAACAAUAUACCAACCAAGGCAUGAUAGGUGGGGUACACUGAGAAGUUAGAUCCCGAUGACUGUUGCUUAAGGGUAUUAUUCACAUAAAAAAGUGCAACACAUAUGACUAUAGGUAAAUGCAUAAAUGCAGAAGGUGAAUUGUAAUUAAUAUAUAUUAUAAAGUGAAGCCCUCCUGCUCAAAAGCCUGCUGGUGUUGCAUCAAGAAGGCUGGCCACUGAUGCUAAAGGCAUUCAGUAACUGUGAAGGCACAUAAUGGUAGGAACUCCUUCAGUCAACAGCAAUCAGUCCUGCCCCAGAACCUCCCAAAUAUGCAGAUGAAGACAGUGUUAAGGAGAUGGCACUGGGCCAUCAGUGACAUCACAGUCAUGCUUGAGCAGAACAGCCUCAUGGACAUAUCCAAGUCUGUAAUGGAGGGUCUGGCAAAUAGAAAAUUGGUGGCACAACUUAUUAUCAGGAAACAGAUAGAGAAGAGCUUCUAACAGGUU